rnacentral:lncRNA from 1 species
GUCGCCCAGGUGUUCCUCGGUGGAUGAAUGGAUAAAGAAAAUGUAAACACACAGUGGAAUCUUACUCAGCCUUGAAAAGGAAGGAAAGUCCAUCCAACACAUGCUACUGCAUGGACGAACUUUGGACAGUGAGCUAAGUGAAAGGAGACAGUCACAAAAGGACAAAUACCAGAUGAUCCCACCUGCGCGAGAUGAUAUGCACUGUUCGUUUACGGCGGCAAGAGAGCUCAAUUAAUUUCUGAGGGAGGACGGCAGGAUGCGACCCCUUGUGCGUGGCCUAGGAGGAACUGUCCCUGUGUGAAUUUAUGUUCUGGUAAUUUAAAAAGAUUUAUAUUAAGCUUUUCUUUCAUUUUGAGAGUAGAUUAAAAUUCUAAUGGAAACCAUUUGUAUGCAUUUGUUGAAUUGAAGAGUAUUUAUGGCUGUGUAAAAAAAAUGCUGCAAAAUUCUGCCGAUAAUAAAGUCAGUGAAGCAAGAAUAAGUGUAAAAACAGGAAGGAAAUACGCGAUAGAAACCAUACUGUAUUAUACAAGUAUAAUGAGGGAGG